rnacentral:rRNA from 1 species
GACGAACGCUGGCGGCGUGCUUAACACAUGCGAGUCGAACGGUAAGGCCCUGCCUUUGUGGGGUGCUUGAGUGUCGCACGCGUGAGUAACACACGUGUAACCUGCGCUUGCCUUUGGGAUAUAUCCAGCAAAAUCGGGUUCUUAUAGGAUAGAAGCUCUUGCCGUCUCGUGGGGGUUGGUAAGUUUCGGCGGUUGGGGAUGGACUCGCGUCGCAUCCGCUUGUCGGUGGGGUAGUGGCUUACCAUGGCUUUGACGGGUCGGCGGCCUGGGAGGGUGACCGGCCACAUUGGGACUGAGAUACGGCCCAGACUGCUGCGGGAGGCAGCAGUGGGGAAGAUUGCGCAAUGGGCAGAAGCCUGAUGCGGCAGCGCCGCGUGCGGGAUGACGACCUUCGGGUUGUAAACCGCUUUCGCCUAUGACGAAGCGUGAGUGACGGUAGUGGGUAAAGAAGCACCGGCUAACUACGUG